CAAAAAUAGAUAUCAAAGUAGUUCUGAUGAUUCAAUAAUAUUAUUGCUUCAAUUCGGAGUUCUUUGUUACUUCGACUGGAUGAAAAUCUUAUUGAUGGGAUGAAUAAUUAAGUCAUAAUUUAUUGGUUGAUUGUAUCAUUAACCAUUUCUUUAUUUUAUUUUGGUGCGAGGAACUUAUCAUGAAUCCAUUGAUUUCUGCCGCUUCCGUUAUUGCUGCUGGGUUGGCCGUUGGGCUUGCUUCUAUUGGACCUGGGGUUGGUCAAGGUACUGCCGCGGGCCAAGCUGUAGAAGGUAUCGCAAGACAACCCGAGGCGGAGGGAAAAAUACGAGGUACUUUAUUGCUUAGUCUGGCUUUUAUGGAAGCUUUAACGAUUUAUGGACUAGUUGUAGCAUUAGCACUGUUAUUUGCGAAUCCUUUUGUUUAAUCUAUAAAAAAAAAAUACGUAUUUUUUUAUUGCCUUGGACUCGCUGCUUGUUUUUUCGAAUUACGAAUUAUAUUAAGGAUUUAAUUCCUACAAUUACUUAUUUAUUUUUAUUGGGACAAUAACCCACGGGAAGGACUGAUUUGAGGAUGAAGAAUUAGUAUACUAACUCGCUUUUUUCCUUCCCCCUUCUUAGUCCAAUCGAAACCUUUUUUUUAAGGAAAUGUUGCAACAGGCAUUUUUGUUUUGCAAUUAAUACGAGACCUGUUACCGAAUUCCCGAAUUCUAAACUGAAUUUUAAUAAGAAUAAUAUUUAUUAGUAUUAGA
rnacentral:misc_RNA from 1 species